rnacentral:rRNA from 1 species
GGUAAACAUUGGCGGCGUGCUUUAAGCAUGCAAGUAGAACGGGAGUUCCGGCUUGCCGGAACAAGAGUUGCGAACGGGUGAGUAACACGUGGGUGAUCUGCCCUGCACUUCGGGAUAAGCCUGGGAAACUGGGUCUAAUACCGGAUAGGACCACUGCCUGCAUGGGGGGUGGUGGAAAGCUUUUGCGGUGUGGGAUGGGCCCGCGGCCUAUCAGCGUGUUGGUGGGGUGAUGGCCGACCAAGGCGACGACGGGUAGCCGGCCUGAGAGGGUGACCGGCCACACUGGGACUGAGAUACGGCCCAGACUCCUACGGGAGGCAGCAGUGGGGAAUAUUGCACAAUGGGCGCAAGCCUGAUGCAGCGACGCCGCGUGAGGGAUGACGGCCUUCGGGUUGUAAACCUCUUUCAGCAUCGACGAAGCGAAAGUGACGGUAGGUGCAGAAGAAGGACCGGCCAACUACGUGCCAGCCGCCGCAGUAA